rnacentral:tRNA from 1 species
GCCCGACUAGCUCAGUUGGAUAGAGCAACGGCCUUCUAAGCCGUGGGUCACAGGUUCGAGUCCUGUGUCGGGUG